UCUCAGGCUUGAGGCUUGGAGGCCAGCUGGACCCACCUGGAGGGUUCCACCUGAGAGGGGCUGUGGAGAACUCAGAAACCACUUGGAGAGAAGGAAGAAAUCUCGCCCGAGGCGAGAGCGUUACACGGUCAGGCUAAAUCUGGGCCCAUGCGCAAUACCCAAGCGACCUUGUCUCAGAGGGCUCCAGGCUAAACCAAGGCUUCGGGGUCUCUCCGGCGGGCACCCAGACCUGACUGUGUGAGGUGGGUUUUCCCUUACUCAGCCACCCACCUGCCAGACCAAGAAGCGGGGAGAUACUUUCCGUCCUGCCUCCAGUCAUGAAGCUGAACUUGCUCCAAGGCCAUUGCCAUGGGAAUGCAGCACAAACUCCAACGUGGGGCUCGAAUCCACGAACCACAAGAUCAGGACCUGAGCCGAAAUCAAGAGUCAGAUAAUUCAACUGACUGAGCCACCCAGGCGCCCCAAGGCAAAAUAUUUAAAUAUCUGGAGUAAACACAUAAAAUGCUUUAACUUUUACCAUUUCUAGGAAAAUCCAUGGAUCCCAAUAUUCAAAAUUAAUAAGGCUUUGUAAGGUCCCAAUACAGUAUAACCGUACCUUGGGUUGGUUUGUCAGUUGCUAAUCUUCGUGUUUCUGAAAUGACUUAUUUAUGGAAAAAGACAGCCUCACUGAGGUUAAACUGAAAUACAAGAGAACAAGAUCCCCAAAACAAUGAUCAGCAGCACGUUCACCACCAAGGCUGAGGUCAAAUGGGAAAUGGGAAGUUUCUUUUUAAGUUACUUUAAAAUCCUGCCCGGAGGUCAUGCAUGGAUUUAGAUUUUUGCACCGAAUUCAAGGUAGCUUACAUGUCUGUUCUAGUGACUGUGGCUGCAUAAUGACUCACCUCAAAGCUUCAUGGCAUAAAACAACAACAAUCAUUUUAUUAUCUCUCACGGUGGCUGCGCAUCAGAAGUUCUCGAAGGGCUUGGCUGGGUGGUUCUGGCUCAGGUAUCUUACGCAGUUGCAAAUAAAUGGUGGUUGGAGCCUAGCAGCUAGGGCUGGCCAGCCUUCUCAUACUCUUCCAGUAGCCUUGGGGCCUCUCCAUUUGGGCUAGUUGGGGCUCCCUUACAACAUGGCGGCCUCAGGGCAGUUGCAUUGCUUAUGAGGUGGCAGAAGGCCACUCCAGGGGGAGUAAUCUAGAAAAGAAAGGAACCGAAUUGCAUUUUUAUGACCUAAGCUUGAAAAACAUCUGGUAUGGCUACUGCAAGGUUGGUUACAAGCCUACCCAGAAUUCAAGGGGAAGGGACUCAGCAUCUCUUAGUAGUAAAAGUGGUAAGGUCCUCAAAGAGCAUAUGAGAUAGAAGAUUUUUUUUUUUUUAAGAUUUUAUUUUUAAGUAAUCUCUACACCCAACGUGGGGCUCGAACCCACAACCCUGGGAUCAAGAGUUGCACGCUCCACCUCCUGAGCCAACCAGGUGCCCCAAGAUGAAAGAUAUUGUCGUACCCAUCAUUGGAAGAUAGAAUGUGUUCAGUGCCCAUGGCUGUAGCUCUCAUUUUUCUCUGCUGUGUCUCCUGAAACUCUGAAGUAUACCACCAACCAAAAUGACACUAUGGAGUUUAUAAAUAAAAUAUAAGGGUGGAUGGGCAGCUCAGAUGUAUAAUAAUCAAAGGUGCUGGUAGAAUCUGUUUAUACACUGGCUCUUGAGGAACUCGGAUAACAGUAUAAACAUUCCGUGGACUUAUGGAAGGUGUUUCAUGUAAGUUUUCUCGGCAUGGUUUUUUAUUUUGGUAAGAUGUGUAUACCUCACAACAUACCACUUUAACCCGCUUUAAGGAUAUAAUUCAGUGGCAUUAAGCAUAUUCAUGUUGUGUAGCUGCUGUCACCACCCUUUGCAGAACAAUUCCAUCACCCCAGACUCAAACUCCACGCCUAGUAAACAGCAGCUCCCCAUUUUCCCCCUCGACCCCAGUCUCGGGAUGGUUUGUUUUGUUUUCUUUUGUUGUCAGUAGGCUCCACACCCAGUACGGAGCCCAGCAUGGGGUUUGAACUCACCAUCCCAAGAUCAACACCUGAGCUGAGAUCAAAACUCAGACAGUUAACCAACUGAGCCACCCAGGUGCCCCUUGAGAUAGUUUUUUGGGUUU